UCUCUUGAUGGGGAUUUAGGCUACAGCACUGGGAAAAUAAUCAUGGGACUGGAUUUCAGGGCCCUGGCCACCUCAGCUCUUCAGGAAUGAAAAGCAUAAUGUUUUCCAUGGUGAUGCUGUGUCUCUACCUCCUCCCUCUGAACCUUGUGAGAGCCACGAACUAGGCUGGACUUUGGUGUCUGCCCUUCAGAUGAUUGGUGCCAUAAGAGGGCCACAAGCGGCACUAUUUCCAAGACAUGGAAACAACCUAAAUGUUCAUUGACAGAUGAGUGGAUGAAGAAGAUGUGGUACAUAUACACAAUGGAAUACUACUCAGCCAUAAAAAAGAACAAAAUAAUGCCAUUUGUAGCAACAUAGAUGGAACUGGAGAGUCUUAUACCAAAUGAAGCUUUUUAAUGUCAGCUCCAAAACUCGAAGCGUACAUAUCAGGAGCUUGGAAGAAAAGCCUGGAGAAAGAGUGGAGCACUCUUUUUAAUACCUGAUGCAGAUUACAUCUUCUGAUGCCCCCCAAGGUGCUAUUACAGAGGACAACAUGGACAUCAACACCUCUGAUUCAGAAAAAUUGAUCUCUGAAUGCUAUUAUGAAUAAUGGUGCCAUGUACAUGGGUGUUUGGAUAUCUUUGAGACCACACUUUCAGUUCUUUUGGGUAUAUGCCCAGAAGUAGAAUUGUUGGAUCAUAUGGCCAUUAAAAUAAAAACUAUUCAAGAAGUCAGCUGCUGCUAUAAAGGUCAUCUGGAAAGUCCAGGGAAGGACCCUGAGCUGCUGCUGGGAAAGAGAAAUUGUCCUCUGGCUCGUGAGCUGUCAUGUUUGUCUGCUGAGUGGCUUCAGUGGUUUCAUCUGUUGCUGAAAGAGCCAAGAGAGAGGGAUAAAACGGGACUAUAAUCCAUACCACAAUGAGCGGGACGGGACCAGCAGCCCAGAAGAAGCAAAAGGAAUCUUAAUGAAUUGGAGACAAUUGGAGAUGGUUUAUAAGGAUGAAGUUCAAAGGUUUUUCUUUAGAAGCCAUUGAGUUGGUAGUCUAGGAGAGCACCUUGUAGUGGUAUUUGCAUAAGGAGAAAGAUGUCAAAUAUUCAAAGAUGCCUUUACUCAAAGAGCCAGUGGCACUUAAGUGGCCAAAUAGCUUACAAGCACUUAUUAAGAUGAAUGGAUAAAGAAGAUGUGGUAUAGAUACACAAUAGAAUAUUACUCAGCCAUUAAAAGGGAAUAAACUAUUGCCAUCUGCAACAACAUGGAUCGAACCGGAGGGUAUUAUGAUAAGUGAAGUAAGUCAAAGACAAAUAUUGUAUGUUUUCACCUAUAUGUGUAAUCAAGAAAAAUAAAUGAACAAAUAUAGCAAAACAGAAAUAGACUCAUAGAUAGAACAUACUAGUGGUUUUCAAUAUUAAAAAAAUAUUGAAUCACUAUAUUGUAUAUGUGAAACUAAUAUGAUAUUGUAAGUUAAAUAGACUUCAAUUUUUAAAAAAAGUAAUUUUAAAAAACAAUAGAGGAGUUUCCACUGUGUGACUUCCAUGGCUCUGGUCACUGUGGAGGUGCAGGUUUGAUCCCCAGCCCAGUGCAGUGGGUUAAAGGAUUUGGCAUUGCCACUGCUGCAACUCGGAUUUAGUCCUUGGCCCAGGAACUUCCAUAGGCCGUGGGUGCAGCCAUUGGAAAAAAAAAAAA
rnacentral:lncRNA from 1 species